GGGACGCAGCAACUGUUUGUGUAGGAAAAGAUGCUGGAAUUGCCUCUCUGGGUGUGUGCUGAGCUCUGGCUGCAGGGGACUGUCAGGCCUUGGUGGCUCCUCCUUGCAGCUCCCAGCCAGGAAAACCUGGGAUAACUGAGGAGGGACAGAGAUGAAG